GCAGCAGUGUGGGCUAAGCAGCCGGAAACGGAGACACCUGAAGUUCUUGUCCUGACUUUUCCUUUAAUUCACUAACGGACACUGGAUAGGAAAACCUGAUCUGCCUUAGAGGCUUCUUAGCAGCUUGCCACCUGGAAGUUCAUUCUCUCAAAUUUGACUGCCAAGUAGCAAGAAGAAAGCAACUUCCUGAAAGCAUGCUGGGGACGAUAAUGACUGUCAUAUGAGAUUUUCGGUUGGGAGAGUGUCACAGGGAGCAGCUAUCGCUGUCCUGAAAGGAGGACUGACCUAAACAUUAAUACUAGAAUUUAAAAAGGUGACUAAACAGAGAUAAUUGUCUAUUGUGUUGAGGAAGGCUUCCUAGGGUUAAGAAGGUUAAUUAUCAUCAUGGAUAACCAGAAUAUUAGUGUUAUUAGAGGGGAAAAGACUGCUGAUGUUUAAUCUCUAAUUAAUGAUGGUAUUCUACUGACUUGAAAACUAUGAAGCUGAUUGGCUCAAAGGCUUAGCAUGGAAAGCUCGUUGUGGAAUAACAGAGACUGGGGUUGGUUGGGCAGAGAGUGGGGUUGAAUUAUUGCCAUGCAAUUAUCAAGUAACCAAUGCUUCCUGUUUUAGGAGAGGUGAAGUCUGAGAAGUAGGCAGAGGCUUGGGUGGGGGGGUGCAAUGAUGGUGCUUUUGGGGGUGUCGCUGCAAGGUGCAGACAGCACUGUGAAGAGUGUAGCCCAUGCCCACAUCCUCACCCACCUGCAUGACUAAUUUUGUCUUUGUUUUUGCUGCUAGUGGAGUCUUUUGGCUUAAAGUUUCUCUUGUAUGAAGUGUGAUGUUUUAUAAGUAUUUAGAAGCAUCUUUAUAUAUUUGGAUUAGUUUUAUCCAGUUUGCAAGAGUGAGAGAAAUGCUGUUUCCACAGACUAUGGGAGUUGAAUGUUAAUGGAGAAAUGAAGAGUGAGGAAAGCCUCUGGCUGUGAAGCUGAGCCUCAGUUUGCUGGGAACAUUUUGCUGCCAUUUUGAAAACAGUCGCCCCAUCCUGUUCCACAUGAGGGUCUCUUCAUGUGCAAGCCCACUGCUGCUCCUUAGGUGACUCUGGCAGCUUCAGCUUGUCUUCACCCCAGGACUUCUUUCUGCAGAGGCUGCUGAAUUCCUUGCUCAGCUUUUCUCCUACCUCAUCACUUCUCCUAUCUGGUAGCUUCAGUUCACUGAGCUCUCUGAGUGUCUCAAUUUCUGCCCACUUUAUUGUGCCCACUUGGGUUUGUACUCUUCUCAAGAGUGAAACUAUGCAACACAAAGAAUGUCUAGGCAGGACUGGUGUCACAAGUGUGUGAACCAUGCAGUAGAACAGGGCCCUGUGCUCAGAAGGGCCCUGCUCCUGUGGUGGUCUUGGGCUCUGGGAAUACUUCUCAGACUAGAUACCUACCCCACCGGCUCCCACUGCAAUAUUGCACCUCCAUAGAAUCAUGCACUACAUUGUCAUGCUGUUAUCUGCUUGCUUCUUUAUCUUGUCUAAUAUACUAUUAGCUCUUUGGGAGUAAGAAACAAGUGUUAUUUAUUUCUGUGUCCUUAGAACCUAGCACAGUAUUGACCAUGUAGUAGGUGCUCAUUAAAUACUGAUGGAAUGAAAGCAAAAGCCCAUAAUUGGUUGGUGGCAUUGGGGCUGGAAUCAAACUCUCCCAUCUGUGAACCUUGAACUCGGACAACUGCACCAAGAUAUUCAAAUAAAUUUUCAAAUGACAA